rnacentral:rRNA from 1 species
GACGAACCGUGCGAACGUUGUUCGGAAUCACUGGGCUUAAAGGGCGCGUAGGCGGCAGAUCAAGUCCGGGGUGAAAUCCUGCAGCUUAACUGUAGAAGUGCCUUGGAUACUGAUUUGCUCGAGGGAGGUAGGGGUCUGUGGAACUUCUGGUGGAGCGGUGAAAUGCGUUGAUAUCAGAAGGAACGCCGGUGGCGAAAGCGACGGACUGGACCUCUUCUGACGCUGAUGCGCGAAAGCCAGGGGAGCAAAC